CUGGUGCGCAAACUUGGACGCGGACUUAAAAUAAUGUUAUUUCCCGCGGAUGUGAGCGUUCCUGUCACUGAGACAAAGACUCGGAACUUGAGAUUAAGUUAGUAAAUGUGAUUACUCUGCCCAGAAUUACUCCUGCGACUUUUUCUACUUUUUUUUUUCUCGGACUUGCUUGUAAUGGCCAGCAUUGGCUGAAGUGUUUUGAUCCAGUCAGUGACAGCCUGCGAACAGCAGGGAGAGCUGUGCGGCGGCCACACAGCAGUUGAUUAUGAGCGCUUCCAAGCACUGAGGGGAAAUCUGGAGCUGAUUUCUUGCAGAAACGACAACGAUAAUUUAGAAUACAGUGUGGCGGAGAGAAACCAUGGAGGCCUCACAGGACCUCAGCGAACAGAUGGUAAAAAAAUCACACAGUGAAUCUCAUGUUCCAGACCCCUCGGAGGCCAGGUCUAUGGAAAUGCAGGACCUAGCGAGUCCUCAUAACCGCGUGGCAGGUGGAGAUUCAUCAGGAUCCAAGCUGGACAAGAACAACCUCGGCAGCCCUUCCAUCACCACCAAUGGAACAGGAGGUGAAAGCAUGACUGUUCUAAACACGGCUGAUUGGCUGUUGGGCUGCAGCAGCCCACCCCCUGCCUCGGGUUCCAAGGACUAUGUAAAAACAGAGCCUAUGAACAACAGCGAUACAGUCACCACGACAGGCGACACAGCACUGGACACAUAUGCAGGCUCAGUGAUCACCAGCAGUGGAUACAGCCCUCGUUCAGCCCACCAGUACUCUCCUCCCCUCUACCCCUCAAAGCCCUACCCUCACAUACUCUCCACACCGGCAGCACCCCCCAUGCCGACGUAUGCCGGCCAACCUCAGUUCAGCAGCAUGCAGCAGUCGACCGUGUAUACGACAUACUCACAGACAGGACAGGCCUACGGACUGUCAACCUAUGACCUCGGAGUGAUGCUUCCAGGCAUUAAGACAGAGAGUGGCCUCACCCAGAGUCAGUCUCCACUGCAGACUGGCCUCAGCUACAGCCCUGGCUUCACUACACCUCAGCCUGGACAGACGGCCUACUCACCCUAUCAAAUGCCAGGUUCCAGUUUCACUCCUUCCUCAGGCAUCUACGCCACCAACAACUCAGUGUCCAACGCCGCCAACUACACUGCCACACAGCAGGAUUAUCCCUCAUACACAACAUUUGGCCAAAACCAGUAUGCGCAGUAUUACUCUGCCUCCACUUACGGGACAUAUAUGACCUCCAACAGCGUGGAUGGCACAGGCUCCACAGCUGCUUACCAGCUGCAAGAUCCCACCCCCGCCAUGACCGGACAGGCUGCUGAACUUCACCCAGGGGACUUUGAUACAGUGCAGAGCCCUUCCACACCCAUCAAAGAGCUGGAUGACAGAGCCUGUCGGAGUGGGGGGUCAAAGUCGCGCGGCAGGGGCCGCAAAAACAACCCCUCUCCUCCCCCUGACAGUGACCUGGAGAGGGUGUUCGUGUGGGAUCUGGACGAGACGAUCAUUGUUUUCCAUUCUUUGCUCACCGGCUCUUAUGCACAAAAAUAUGGCAAGGACCCUCCCAUGGCAGUGACGCUUGGGCUGAGGAUGGAGGAGAUGAUCUUCAACUUGGCUGACACACACUUAUUCUUUAAUGACCUGGAGGAAUGUGAUCAGGUACAUAUUGAUGAUGUGUCAUCUGAUGACAAUGGCCAGGACUUAAGUACUUACAGUUUUGCAACUGAUGGCUUCCAUGCAGCUGCAACCAGCGCCAACCUGUGCCUGGCAACGGGUGUCCGCGGCGGGGUCGACUGGAUGAGGAAACUGGCCUUCCGAUACCGACGGGUCAAAGAGUUGUAUAGCACGUACAAAAACAAUGUGGGGGGUCUACUGGGUCCUGCUAAGAGAGAUGCCUGGCUGCAGCUCAGAGCAGAGGUGGAAGCUCUGACCGACUCCUGGCUUACUCACGCGCUGAAGUCCCUGUCCAUCAUCAGCUCCAGGAGUAACUGUGUAAAUGUGUUGGUGACCACAACGCAGCUCAUACCAGCGCUGGCUAAAGUUCUUCUAUAUAGUCUCGGAUCAGUUUUCCCUAUUGAGAACAUUUACAGCGCAACAAAAAUAGGCAAAGAGAGCUGUUUUGAGCGUAUAGUCUCCCGCUUUGGCACUAACAUUACAUAUGUUGUGAUUGGCGAUGGGAAGGAUGAAGAGCAUGCUGCCAGCCAGGAAAAGAGAGUUGCUUUGAACGCAUAAUGCAAAGGUUUGGCAGGAAAGUAGUGUAUGUUGUAAUUGGGGACGGUGUGGAAGAGGAGCAGGCGGCCAAAAAGCACAACAUGCCUUUCUGGAGGAUAUCCAGUCACUCUGACCUGCUGGCAUUACACCAAGCACUGGAGUUUGAAUACCUGUAACUAUCCUAGCAAUACGGACUGAUGCAAUGUUACCAUGGAAAUGGCCAGCCAGGCAGCCCCCAUCUUUUGUAUAACUAUUUAAGAACAAAAAAAAAAAAACUACACUGCAACAGUUUGUGAUCUUUUUUUUUUUCUCUCCCCAGUUUAGUUUUUUUUUUUUUUUUUUGAAUGUCUGGAUUUACACUCUUAAUGGUCUUAAGCACAGAGGUUAAAGGAGGGAGGUAAAUAAAAGGUCAGUGUGGUUGGGAAUAGCUGAACAAACCCAACUCAUCUCUGCUCAGCCCUUCUGAUCCUGAAACAAACCUCUGUGGAAACCCAGUGUACGGUCCAUGCAGCUGAAGCAGGAAAUAUCCAGUAUGAAGACCUGAGCCUGGAAAGAUGUUUGUUUUUGAGCUCUGGUUUUAACCAAAGCAUCCAAGGGUAUAAGAAGGACUUGUCCGCACCCCAACAUUCAUUUGAAGGCUUCUCUGUACAAAUUCUGUAAUGCAUACUGGGAUGAGGGUUUUUUUGUGAGUGUUUUUAUGUUAUUUUUUUUGUAAAAGUUUUUCUCCUGAUGGUAUAAUCGCAACACAUGCAGUCUGGUAGAAAUUUCUGUAAAUUAUUUCCAAUAAACUUAAAGGACAGUGGAUGCCUUUGCUCAUUUUGUCAACAACCUGAAUCUAUUGGGAAUCUUGUCUUUUUAUCUCUGGAUUUUAAUAUCUUGCUGUUCCUUCUGAAUUUUCUUGAGGGGUGAGCAUUAGAUUGUUAAAAUGUACCUCAUGAUAUGUUCUUUAAUGGUUAUAUGCUUUUUAGAUUUUUAAAAAUGGGAAAGGCUAUUUAAAAUAAGAACUAUAUAUCUUUUGUGAAUUAAAUUUAGAAUGAAAAAUUACACAAUUACAAUUAUGAAAUUAAAUUUAUAUGCUCACUGCCGCUUUUAAAAGGAGCUCUUUUCACAAGCUGCAACAAUUUUCUUAGGUAUUAAUGAAAUGUUCAACCUGCUUUGGUCAAAAUUACAUGUCAGUUUACACUGCCCUCUUUGAAUACAAUUUUAAAAGGGUGCACUAAGUGUCCUCAAGAAAUCUCAUUUGACAUUGCUGUACAAUUGGAAAAGAAUUGUUGAAUUUAGUUGGCAUUAAAGACAUAAAAAGAAAAAUAUAAACAAUUUGAUGCUGAUAGCAAAGCAAAAAACAAGAUAAGCUCAAACUUCCUAUUUCUGAAGUCCUGUAAAUGUAGCGUUUUAAGUGGGUAGAGAAUGAGCUGAAUAACUUUAAAUGGUGACUUAACGCUGCACCUUGAAUGACUCAGUAAAUGACAUUUUCAGCUGAAGGUCACUCAGAAAAAAGCUGUUUUCUAUGUUUUUGGAGAAAGUAGUGCUGUCAGCAGUAUUUCUUUAUAUCAUUUACCCUUUGCAAAGCUGCAUAAUAUCAAAAUGUGAAUUUUAAAUUUUACGGGGAAAGGGAAAAUAAAC